GGAACUUAACCAACUUAGCUUCGUUGGACCUUUCUCACAAUAACAUUACUGGAGCUAUACCCCUUGGCUUUGGGAAUCUCUCUUGUUUAGAAUACCUUCAUCUUUCUAACAACCUUCUUACUGGAGCUAUACCCCUUGGCUUUGGGAAUCUCUCUUGUUUAGAAUACCUUCAUCUUUCUAACAACCUUCUUACUGGAGCUAUACCGCUAGGGUUGGGAAAUUGCACUGCUGUUUAUCUCUCCAAUAACAAUCUUAGUGGACCUAUACAACUAGGGAUAGAGACUUGCACUAGAUUACAGUACCUUGACCUUUCUUACAAUAGCAUUACUGGACCUAUACCACCAAUGUUGGGGAAUUGCACCGAACUAUAUUACCUUACUCUUUCAAACAACCUUCUUACCGGAGAUAUACCACCAGG
rnacentral:lncRNA from 1 species